AGGCGUUACAAAGUCUGACUGGGAACCUACUAUUAUUGUCUUUAAAGAGGAAAGUGUAUAAUCAUUGCAUUCUACCGGUGAUAGCAUAAGGGGCCGACACGGUUAGCAAAAAAGCUCGUGAACAAAUUAAGGACCACACAAAGAGCGAUGGAACAAGUGUUAGGGGUUACGCUAAGCGACAGAAAGAGAGUGGUGUGGAUCAAAGAGCAAGUGGGGAUAUCCGAUAUUGUACUUGACACUAAGAGAAAAAAAAAUGGAGCUGGGCAGGCCAUGUGAUGCUCAGGGUCGAUAACCGGUCGACCAUUAGAGUUACAGAAUGGGUGCCGGGGAAACGUAGGUGCAGUCGAGAACUACAUAAAACUAGGUGGGGUGAUGAAAUUAGGAAAUUUGCCGGCUCAAGUUGGAAUUGGCUGGCGCAGGACAGGGGUAAUAGGAGAUCGUAGGGAUAGGCCUUCGUCUUGAGGUGAAAAUAAAGUAGACUGAUGGUAAUGAUGAUGAUGGUGAUGCUUGAUGACGCCACAAUACAGCGCCGAAGCAAACACAGAAGCUUCUUUCAUGCGAGUAAUAAUUGUGCGUAGGAUGGAAAAGAACAAGGAGGGAUCAUUAGGUCGCGUAGCCAACCUUCGCAAGCCAUCUCUGCAAGAAGCCGCCCCCCCCCCCGACCCCUCCUCCCAUUCUUGCCUUCGUUGAUCUAAAAGUCUUCCCAUAAUACGACUCUGUGCUCGGCAGACUCAGCCUAUUAUGUUUGGUUCGCGGUAAAUAUGAAUUGAAGUGAGCAUGUUCGGAUGCCUUGCUAACCACUGUGUGCACAUUUUCUCCCGUUAAUCUUGUGCAACUUUCAUCGCGUCUUGUAGCGUACGCACGUCUAACAUUGUAACAUACGAGUGUGGUUACCGUAGACGGGGGCAUCACAUUUGUUUGUUGUUGUUGUUUUUCAGAAGAGCACGCUUAGUUGAUGGAGAUAUGAUCAGAUGUUGAGCCGAACUUUAUUUUUUUUUUUGGGGGGGGGGGGUUACAAAGUAUCACGUAAUGCUUGCUUCUAGGUUUUCCUUUCUCGAUGAAAAUCUGCGCCUCGAUAGCGCAAGUUUGUAAAUGUGCACCUGAGGCGCCGAGUAGUGUGCGAGAAUAUGUGCACCCUAUCACAAAAAAUUGAAAGCCAGCUGCCUAUUGCGGAAGGCUACCCAUGGAUAUUUACUUUUCCUGCGGUCGUAAGGAAACUUGUGGUGGUAAGUCUUGUUAGCAGCAAUUUCAUUCGUAGAACGUUUAUUUGUUUCUUUCUUUUUUCAAAUUCGUGGGCUUUCCUAUUGGCGUUUGCAUAAUGCAGCAAUCAAACCACUGCGCAUGGAUAGACACAACACACAAUGUCUUUGUUGACACACUAUUUCUGGCACGACGGAAUAGAAAUAUAAAAUUUUAGUGCAGUUUUAGGUCCGUUUCAUGAAUUCCCUUUCAUAUUAACGUCCUCCAUGUGCAGUGUUUACUUGACAAGACAAAGUGGAACCUUCUAUACAGAAAUUUUGACGAUGACAAGUACUUCGGAAAUGCAAAGUCUGUCACGUUUCGUGACCUCGGCGUCUUCGAAGACUAUACGACGUCCCUCUCGAAUGCAAGUGGAGUCUCACACUCAAGCAAGAAGAUUGUCCUAAGUUCAACGCCAAGCUAUAAAGCCAGGAACCAAAUUCUAAUGAGGCCUGAAGAAUCACAUAUUACUGCGAAAGUACACGUCAUAUACAGGGACUGUCGAAAGUGCAUUGUCCUACGACACCCUUACGCAAGCAACGGUUACGGAUGCACGUACUGGCGUCGCUUCGACACAAUGAAGGAACAAGCUGACAGUUGCGAGUUUGUCUACGAUGAACUUUGUGGCACAACUCCAAAGUACCCGAAGUACAAUUCAACGUGCACGCCAGAGACGCUCUUCAUACACCCGUGGAUCCCAUCUAAUCGGUUGUGGCCAGUGUGGCUACUACGGCACCAAUUGUGAAAGCCCGUUAGAAUGCCACUGCUGCCGCCCAGGCAUCAUUUUCUGCCAAACUCACGGAAGCCGUGGAGAUAGUGGUCCAAGAAGCUAGAACUGCUCGACUUUUGGCCACAGCCUUUCAAACUUUAAUCUAGAAACAUUCUGAACGUGGCAAUCCUUCGCUGUAAUAUUCUAGUACCAAUCUAGCAGUAUUCCCAAGGUGGUGAUCUACUGAUGCUCAUGGAACAAAAAGAAAAAUGAAAUGUUGACUCUACAUUAAUGCACCUUUGCGUGAAUGCAACCGAACUGACGGUACAUGCAGUACAUGCCCCCACAAAUAAAUAAGAAAGCGCUAAUAACUUUUGUAACUAUAAAUAAAUAACGCCUGCCAAACAUGA